UACGAAGGGUGCAAGCGUUACUCGGAAUUACUGGGCGUAAAGCGUGCGUAGGUGGUGCGUUAAGUCUGUCGUGAAAGCCCCGGGCUCAACCUGGGAAUGGCGAUGGAUACUGGCGCGCUAGAGUGCGGUAGAGGAGAGUGGAAUUCCCGGUGUAGCAGUGAAAUGCGUAGAGAUCGGGAGGAACACCAGUUGCGAAGGCGGCUCUCUGGACCAGCACUGACACUGAGGCACGAAAGCGUGGGGAGCAAACAGG
rnacentral:rRNA from 1 species